AGAGUGCUAAUGCUCCACUUUUAUUUUAAUAAAAGCACCUUGAACUGAGGUUUAGUUGGCGGCAAAUUCUCCCCUGAAUUACGUUCCUGACUCUGCUUAUUGAAGAAAAAGUGACAUUUCUGCCGAAUUUAUUAGAAAUCUGGAGGAAUGUGCAACACUGAUGGGAUUGUUCAAGCCGGGGAAAAAAAAAGUAGCAAGUGUGUAUGAUUUUUAUCUAGACCU
rnacentral:lncRNA from 1 species